rnacentral:lncRNA from 1 species
UCCUGUAGUAAUUGCAGAGUUACAGAUUUCUGUAUAAUAAUUUAUCCUAAUUGUACUGUAAUGUAUAUCUAAUUCUAGAUUUUCAACGUUAUUUAUUAUCUUGUGUUGUUCUUCUUGUAGCGAUUUUUUUAAAUUAUAUAAAUUAUCACAUGUACUUUUUUUCUAAAUUUUCUAAGGUUUCUUCUAUCCAUAUUAAUUUUUCUUUUAGAUUCUCCAUUAUUUUUC